rnacentral:rRNA from 1 species
GCAAGAUACCACGGGCGCACGGCGGAUGCCUUGGCACAGGGAGCCGAUGAAGGACGCGGCAAGCUGCGAUAAUCCCCGGCGAGGAGCACACAUCCUUCGACCCGGGGGUCUCCGAAUGGGCGAACCCAUGCACAGCAGUGUGCAUAUCCCCGGCCCGAACACAUAGGGCCGGGGAGGACAACCCGGGGAACUGAAACAUCUAAGUACCCGGAGGAGAGGAAAUCAAUCUCGAGACUCCCCGAGUAGCGGCGAGCGAAAGGGGACCGAUGGCCAAACCGUCGAGCGGGCAUACCCGGCAGGGGUUCCGCCGACGGGGUUGCAGGGCCGCGCAUCCGGGGGCUGCCGCCCCCGGGCGCAGGUCCGGCUGGGGAGCGGAACGGCAUGGGAGGGCCGGCCGCAGCGGGUGACAGCCCCGUACGCGAACCCAGACCGGACGGCGCGACGCGGUCCCUGAGUAGGGCCGGGCACGUGAAACCCGGUCCGAACCUGGGUGGACCACCAUCCAAGCCUGAGUACUACCCUGUGACCGAUAGCGCACCAGUACCGUGAGGGAAAGGUGAAAAGCACCCCGGGAGGGGAGUGAAACAGUACCUGAAACCGUGCGCCCACGAGCAGUCGGAGCAACUUUUAGUUGUGACGGCGUGCCUUUUGUAGAAUGAGCCAGCGAGUCGCUGGCGCGGGGCGAGGUUAACCGAAAGGGAGCCGGAGCGAAAGCGAGCCUUAACAGGGCGACUUGAGUCCCGCGCCGCGGACGCGAAGCCGGGUGAGCUAUCCGUGGGCAGGCUGAAGCGGGGGUAAGACCCCGUGGAGGGCCGAACGCACGUCGGUUGAAAACGGCGGCGAUGACCUGCGGAUAGGGGUGAAAGGCCAAUCAAACCCGGAGAUAUCUCGUUCUCCCCGAAAUAGCUUUAGGGCUAGCGUCGCGCGUUCACCGCCGGAGGUAGAGCACCGGAUGGACGAGGGGGCUUCGCCGCCUACCGAAUCCAACCGAACUCCGAAUGCCGGCGGCCCAGAGCGCGGCAGUCAGAGCAUGUGGGCUAAGCUGUGUGCUCGAGAGGGAAACAGCCCGGACCGCCCGCUAAGGUCCCCAAGUUCCAGCCGAGUGGCAAAGGAUGUGCGUCCGCCCAGACAACCAGGAUGUUGGCUUAGAAGCAGCCAUCCAUUCAAAGAGUGCGUAACAGCUCACUGGUCGAGUGGACAUGCGCCGACAAUACACGGGGCUAAGCUGGACACCGAAGCGGCGGGAUUUUAAUUCAUUAGAAUCGGUAGGGGAGCUUCCCAUGGGCGGAGAAGCCGGAGGGCGACCGACGGUGGAGCGCAUGGGAGUGAGAAUGCUGGCAUGAGUAGCGAGAGACGAGAGAGUAACUCGUCCGCCGUGAACCCGAGGUUUCCUGGGCAAGGCUAAUCCUCCCAGGGUCAGUCGGGGGCUAAGGCGAGGCCGGGAGGCGUAGCCGACGCGCAGCAGGCAGACAUUCCUGCACCGCGCACGCGGCGCUACGACCGACGGGGCGACGGAUGGGGGUGGCUCGGCGGGGUUCUGGACGUCCCCGUGAUGGAGCGCGGCCCGCGGACCAGGGAAAUCCGGUCCGCAGAAGGGCGAGGCUCCGGACGAAGCACUUAAGCGAAGCGAGUGAGCCCGAGGUCCCUAGAAAAACCCCUAGGCAGGCGCGUGCGCGCCCGUACCGCAAACCGACACAGGUGGGUGGGUAGAACAUACCGAGGCGAUCGGGUCAACCAUGGUCAAGGAACUCGGCACAAUGGCCCCGUAACUUCGGGAGAAGGGGUGCCCGCGCGUACGUGAACGGACUUGCUCCGGGAGCGGAGGCGGGCCGCAGUGGAGAGGCCCAAGCGACUGUUUACCAAAAACACAGGACUCUGCAGAAGCCGCAAGGCGACGUAUAGGGUCUGACGCCUGCCCGGUGCCGGAAGGUCACGCGGAGGAGUUAGCCGAUUCGGCGAAGCCCCGAAGCCAAGCCCCGGUAAACGGCGGCCGUAACUAUAACGGUCCUAAGGUAGCGAAAUUCCUUGUCGGGUAAGUUCCGACCUGCACGAAUGG